rnacentral:rRNA from 1 species
GGUUUUAUGAAUUUAAUAUAAAAUCUGACCUGCUCAAUGAAAUUUUUAAAUAGCUGCAGUAUAUUAACUGUACAAAGGUAGCAAAAUCAAUAGUUUUUUAAUUGGAAGCUUGUAUGAAUGGUUUUAUGAAAUAUAAACUUUUUUUAAUUUAAGUUUUAGAAUUUUUUUAUUAGUAAAAAAACUAAUAUAAAAUUAAAAGACGAGAAGACCCUAUAGAAUUUUAUUAAAUUUUAUUUAAAUAAAAUUUAAUUUAUUAAAUUUAAUUAUAAUUUAAUUUGGUUGGGGUGAUUAUUAAAUUUAUUUAACUUUAAUUAAUAAUAAUUUUAAUUAAAAAAUUUUUGAUCUUUAAUUAUUAAGAAUAAAAGAAUAAAUUACCUUAGGGAUAACAGGAUAAUUUUUUUAGAGAGAUCAUAUUGAUAAAAAAGAUUAUUACCUCGAUGUUGAAUUAAGAUAAAAUUUAAAAGGAAAAAUUUAAUAAUUUUAGUCUGUUCGACUAUUAAAAUCUUACA